rnacentral:rRNA from 1 species
AACGAACGCUGGCGGCAUGCCUAACACAUGCAAGUCGAACGCGGCCUUCGGGGCUUGUGGCUCACGGGUGCUUAAGGCGUGGGAAGCUGCCCUUAGGUUCGGAAUCACUCACCGAGAGGGGUGCUAAUACCAGAUAAUGUCUUAGCGCCAAAGAUUUAUCGCCUUUUGAUGGGCCCGCGUUGGGUUCGCUAGUUGGUAGAGUAAAUGCCUUUCAAGGCGAAGAUCCAUAGCUGGUCUGAGAGGCUGACCAGCCACACUGGGACUGAGAGACGGCGCAGAUUUCUACGGGAGGAAGGAGGUGGGAACAUGGGACGCCGGGCGAAUGACGGAGCUAGUAAGGUCGUGUGAGUGAUGAAGGCGUGAGGGUUGUAAAGCUGUGUUAACCGUGAUGAUAAUGACAGUACCGGGAGAAUAAGCGCCGGCUAACUCCGUG